UACGGGAGGCAGCAGUGGGGAAUAUUGCACAAUGGGCGCAAGCCUGAUGCAGCCAUGCCGCGUGUAUGAAGAAGGCCUUCGGGUUGUAAAGUACUUUCAGUCGUGAGGAAGGUGUUAAGGUUAAUAACCUUAGCAAUUGACGUUAGCGACAGAAGAAGCACCGGCUAACUCCGUGCCAGCAGCCGCGGUAAUACGGAGGGUGCGAGCGUUAAUCGGAAUUACUGGGCGUAAAGGGCACGCAGGCGGUUAAUUAAGUUGGAUGUGAAAUCCCCGGGCUUAACCUGGGAAUGGCAUUCAAGACUGGUUAGCUAGAGUCUUGUAGAGGGGGUAGAAUUCCAUGUGUAGCGGUGAAAUGCGUAGAGAUGUGGAGGAAUACCGGUGGCGAAGGCGGCCCCUGGACAAAGGCUGACGCUCAUGUGCGAAAGCGUGGGGAGCGAAAC
rnacentral:rRNA from 1 species